CCUACGGGAGGCAGCAGUGGGGAAUAUUGCACAAUGGGGGAAACCCUGAUGCAGCGACGCCGCGUGAGUGAAGAAGUAUUUCGGUAUGUAAAGCCCUAUCAGCAGGGAAGAAAAUGACGGUACCUGAUUAAGAAGCACCGGCUAACUACGUACCAGCAGCCGCGGUAAUACGUCGGCGGCAAGCGUUAUCCGGAUUUACUGGGUGUAAAGGGGGAGUAGACGGCAGCACAAGUCUGGAGUGAAAUGCCGGGGCUUAACCCCGGAACUGCUUUGGAAACUGUGCAGCUAGAGUGCGGGAGAGGUAAGUGGAAUUCCUAGUGUAGCGGUGAAAUGCGUAGAUAUUAGGAGGAACACCAGUGGCGAAGGCGGCUUACUGGAGUGUAACUGACGUUGAGGCUCGAAAGCGUGGGGAGCGAACAGGAUUAGAUACCCCAGUAGUC
rnacentral:rRNA from 1 species